GAAGGGGAAGAUUCAUGGAGUGAGGUUGUGCAGGACCCCAAGGAAGACUUCAAGAUGUUCAGGACUCUGAUCCAGGAUUUUUGAUGCUUUCCAAAACUUCUUGGGGCAUUUGAUCAGACCUGGGAGGGUAACGCUAUGUGGAUUUUCGGGGAGCAUUGAAUCUGCAGCUGGAACAAGGCUUUAACCCAUGGCCUAGCAAAAGUUGCUGAGCACAAGGCAGAAUGAUAGAUGAUGCUCAGACUACAUGAAAGGAAGACAGAAAUGAAGGAAGUGCUAGCAAAGGGAGGAGAAAGAAAGAAGACAAUACACAAUGGGCAAGGGGAAGAGACACCCAAAUAUGGGGGGAAAAGGGCAGCAUAAUACAAAAGAGAUA